rnacentral:rRNA from 1 species
CCUACGGGUGGCAGCAGUGGGGAAUAUUGGACAAUGGGGGGAACCCUGAUCCAGCCAUGCCGCGUGUGUGAAGAAGGCCCUCGGGUUGUAAAGCACUUUCAGUGAGGAAGAACGCCUGGUGGUUAAUACCCAUCAGGAAAGACAUCACUCACAGAAGAAGCACCGGCUAACUCCGUGCCAGCAGCCGCGGUAAUACGGAGGGUGCGAGCGUUAAUCGGAAUUACUGGGCGUAAAGCGCGCGUAGGUGGCUUGAUAAGCCGGUUGCGAAAGCCCCGGGCUCAACCUGGGAACGGCAUCCGGAACUGUCAAGCUAGAGUGCAGGAGAGGAAGGUAGAAUUCCCGGUGUAGCGGUGAAAUGCGUAGAGAUCGGGAGGAAUACCAGUGGCGAAGGCGGCCUUCUGGACUGACACUGACACUGAGGUGCGAAAGCGUGGGUAGCAAACAGGAUUAGAUACCCCGGUAGUC